rnacentral:sRNA from 1 species
UUGGCUGCCCUUCUUUUUGAGCUUCAAAGUCUGUGGGAAUCUUGAGUAAUUUGAGCUUUUGGAUCAUGGAUUUUGUUGAUUUGUGUUUUUUGCAUUGUCCUUUAGGUAUCUGGUUUUCCCUGGUGUUGACUGGAUGAUUCUGAUGCCAGCAGGACUCCUCUGGACAUGAACUCAGGACCUUUUUCAAGGUGAUUAAUUCAGCUUUCUGUACAGAAGUCCCAGGUAAUAAGGUCAAGAUCCAUAUUAUGGAAUCAAGAACCACCACCACCACUACACCUGCAUUCCUGGUCCCACCUCUCAUGAAGGCAUUCCCAUCCAUAGGAUGAGUCACGUCUACAUUUGAUCUGAGGAUGUCCACUAAGUCUGGUCUCAGAUUCUGGACAUGUGUUCAGCACUAUUGAGUUCUAAUGCAUGACAUCCAGGUCUGGGUAUGGAAGCAGAGUAGCCAGUUCAGUGCAGAGGCAGGGUGGUAUCUAACGCAGGGUGUGUUGAGGAGCAAGUGGGUAUUAGGUAUCCAGCGAUCUAAAGGGUUUUUUAGAACUACCUCAAUGGCAUGAAGGGUGCUUAUAAUCAGUUCUGGUCCCAUGAUGAUUUUAUCAGCAUCCUUGACCAGCAAAGCAGUGGCUGCCAUAAUGCAUAGACAGGAUGGCCACCCCCAUUGUUAAAUCUUUUUCAGCUAUUGCUGGGAGCCUGGUCAUGUGCUUAACUUCAAAUCCUUCCAGCAAUUGGAGUUUUCAGCAGAUGUCUGGUGCCCCUUGAUUGAUGAAUCAUAACAGACUGGAUCUUGCCUCUGGAUCCAGAGGUAUAUAGG